rnacentral:rRNA from 1 species
UACGUAGGGACCAAGCGUUGUUCGGAUUUACUGGGCGUAAAGGGCGCGUAGGCGGCGCGGUAAGUCACUUGUGAAAUCUCUGAGCUUAACUCAGAACGGCCAAGUGAUACUGCAGUGCUAGAGUGUGGAAGGGGCAAUCGGAAUUCUUGGUGUAGCGGUGAAAUGCGUAGAUAUCAAGUGGAACACCUGAGGUGAAGACGGGUUGCUGGGCCAACACUGACGCUGAUGCGCGAAAGCCAGGGGAGCAAACGGG